rnacentral:rRNA from 1 species
UACAGAGGUGGCUAGCGUUGUUCGGAUUUAUUGGGCGUAAAGGGUCCGUAGGCGGUCUGAAAAGUCGGAUGUGAAAUCCCACAGCUUAACUGUGGAACUGCAUUCGAAACUCUCAGACUUGAGUGUGAGAGGGGUAAAGGGAAUUCCCGGUGUAAGGGUGAAAUCUGCAGAGAUCGGGAGGAACACCAGUCGCGAAGGCGCUUUACUGGCUCACUACUGACGCUCAGGGACGAAAGCUAGGGGAGCAAACGGG